rnacentral:rRNA from 1 species
AUUGAACGCUGGCGGCAGGCCUAACACAUGCAAGUCGAGCGAGCGGCGGACGGGUGAGUAAUGUAUGGGGACUGCCCGAUAGAGGGGGAUAACUACUGGAAACGGUGGCUAAUACCGCAUACUAUCGGAUAACCCAUAUGGGAUUAGCUAGUCGGUGGGGUAAAGGCUCACCUAGGCGACGAUCUCUAGCUGGUCUGAGAGGAUGAUCGGCCAAACUGGGACUUGGGCACGGCCCAGACUGCUGCGGGGGCAGCGGUGGGGAAGAUUGCACAAUGGGCGCAAGCCUGAUGCAGCCAUGCCGCGUGUAUGAAGAAGGCCUUAGGGUUGUAAAGUACUUUCGGCGGAGAGGCGUUACCCGCAGAAAAGGCACCGGCUAACUCCGUGCCAGCAGCCGCGGUAAUAC